rnacentral:rRNA from 1 species
UAGCUAGUUGGUGAGGUAAAGGCUUACCAAGGCGACGAUCUGUAGCGGGUCUGAGAGGAUGAUCCGCCACACUGGAACUGAGACACGGUCCAGACUCCUACGGGAGGCAACAGUGGGGAAUUUUGGACAAUGGGGGCAACCCUGAUCCAGCCAUGCCGCGUGAGUGAAGAAGGCCUUCGGGUUGUAAAGCUCUUUCGGCCGGGAAGAAAUCGCAUGGGCCAAUACCCUGUGUGGAUGACGGUACCGGAAUAAGAAGCACCGGCUAACUACGUGCCAGCAGCCGCGGUAAUACGUAGGGUGCGAGCGUUAAUCGGAAUUACUGGGCGUAAAGCGUGCGCAGGCGGUUUUGUAAGACAGGCGUGAAAUCCCCGGGCUUAACCUGGGAACUGCGUUUGUGACUGCAAGGCUAGAGUACGGCAGAGGGGGGUGGAAUUCCACGUGUAGCAGUGAAAUGCGUAGAGAUGUGGAGGAACACCAAUGGCGAAGGCAGCCCCCUGGGUCGAUACUGACGCUCAUGCACGAAAGCGUGGGUAGCAAACAGGAUUAGAUACCCUGGUAGUCCACGCCCUAAACUAUGUCAACUAGGUGUUGGGUGGGUAAAACCAUUUAGUACCGUAGCUAACGCGUGAAGUUGACCGCCUGGGGAGUACGGCCGCAAGGUUAAAACUCAAAGGAAUUGACGGGGACCCGCACAAGCGGUGGAUGAUGUGGAUUAAUUCGACGCAACGCGAAAAACCUUACCUACCCUUGACAUGCCAGGAACUUGCCAGAGAUGGCUUGGUGCCCGAAAGGGAGCCUGGACACAGGUGCUGCAUGGCUGUCGUCAGCUCGUGUCGUGAGAUGUUGGGUUAAGUCCCGCAACGAGCGCAACCCUUGUCGUUAAUUGCCAUCAUUUAGUUGGGCACUUUAACGAGACUGCCGGUGACAAACCGGAGGAAGGUGGGGAUGACGUCAAGUCCUCAUGGCCCUUAUGGGUAGGGCUUCACACGUCAUACAAUGGUCGGUACAAAGGGUUGCCAAGCCGCGAGGCGGAGCCAAUCCCAGAAAGCCGAUCGUAGUCCGGAUUGCAGGCUGCAACUCGCCUGCAUGAAGUCGGAAUCGCUAGUAAUCGUGGAUCAGCAUGUCACGGUGAAUACGUUCCCGGGUCUUGUACACACCGCCCGUCACACCAUGGGAGCGGGUUCCGCCAGAAGUAGGUAGCCUAACCGCACGGGGGGCGCUUACCACGGCGGGGUUCGUGACUGGGGUGAAGUCGAAACAAGGUAGCCGUAGGGGAACCUGCGGCUG